rnacentral:ncRNA from 1 species
UUGCCCAUCGGGGCUGAGGAUACCUGUUUUUUAAUUUUU